rnacentral:rRNA from 1 species
AUUGAACGCUGGCGGCAGGCCUAACACAUGCAAGUCGAGCGAGCGGCGGACGGGUGAGUAAUGUAUGGGGACUGCCCGAUAGAGGGGGAUAACUACUGGAAACGGUAGCUAAUACCGCAUACUAUCGGAUAACCCAUAUGGGAUUAGCGAGUAGGUGAGGGAAUGGCUCACCUAGGCGACGAUCCCUAGCUGGUCUGUGAGGACGAUCAGCAACACUGGGACUGAGACACGGCCCAUACUCCUACGGGGUCACUAGUGGGGAAUAUUGCACAAUGGGCGCAAGCCUGAUGCAGCCAGGCCGCGUGUAUGAAGAAGGCCCUAGGGUUUUAAAGUACUUUCAGUCGGGAGGCGUUACCGACAGAAGAAGCACCGGCUAACUCCGUGCCAGGAGCCGCGGUAAUAC